rnacentral:rRNA from 1 species
AUACGGAGGGUGCGAGCGUUAAUCGGAAUUACUGGGCGUAAAGGGUCCGUAGGCGGUCUGCUUAGUCUGAUGUGAAAGCCCCGGGCUUAACCUGGGAAUGGCAUUGGAUACUGGCGGACUAGAGUCUGGUAGAGGGUGGUGGAAUUCCCGGUGUAGCGGUGAAAUGCGUAGAUAGCGUGAGGAACACCAGUGGCGAAGGCGGCCACCUGGACCAAGACUGACGCUGAGGGACGAAAGCGUGGGUAGCAAACAGGAUUAGAAACCCCAGUAGUCC